UACGUAGGGACCGAGCGUUGUCCGGAAUCAUUGGGCGUAAAGCGCGUGUAGGCGGCCACUUAAGUCCUGCGUGAAAUCUUGCGGCUCAACCGCAAGCGGUCGUGGGAAACUGGGUGGCUAGAGUGCGGGAGAGGAGAGUGGAAUUCCUGGUGUAGCGGUGGAAUGCGCAGAUAUCAGGAAGAACACCCGUGGCGAAGGCGGCUCUCUGGAACGCAACUGACGCUGAGACGCGAAAGCGUGGGGAGCAAACAGG
rnacentral:rRNA from 1 species